rnacentral:rRNA from 1 species
UUGCAGAUGAAUUGCGGUGAAAGCCGUAAGCCGCAAGGCAUCUGUGAAGGUGCUGCAUGGUUGUCGUCAGCUCGUGCCGUGAGGUGUCGGCUUAAGUGCCAUAACGAGCGCAACCCUUGUUGUCAGUUACUAACAGGUUCCGCUGAGGACUCUGACAAGACUGCCAUCGUAAGAUGUGAGGAAGGUGGGGAUGACGUCAAAUCAGCACGGCCCUUACGUCCGGGGCUACACACGUGUUACAAUGGGGGGUACAGAGGGCCGCUACCACGCGAGUGGAUGCCAAUCCCCAAAACCUCUCUCAGUUCGGACUGGAGUCUGCAACCCGACUCCACGAAGCUGGAUUCGCUAGUAAUCGCGCAUCAGCCACGGCGCGGUGAAUACGUUCCCGGGCCUUGUACACACCGCCCGUCAAGCCAUGGGAGCCGGGGGUACUUGAAGUGCGUAACCGCGAGGAGCGCCCUAGGGUAAAACUGGUGACUGGGGCUAAGUCGUAACAAGGUAGCCGUACCGGAAGGUGCGGCUGGAUCACCUCCA